UAAUGCCGGAUGCUCCAUCACACCGCAUGGUGUGUUGGGAAAGCCUUUGCGGCAUGGGAUGGGGUCGCGUCCUAUCAGCUUGAUGGCGGGGUAACGGCCCACCAUGGCUUCGACGGGUAGCCGGCCUGAGAGGGCGACCGGCCACAUUGGGACUGAGAUACGGCCCAGACUCCUACGGGAGGCAGCAGUGGGGAAUAUUGCACAAUGGGCGCAAGCCUGAUGCAGCGACGCCGCGUGAGGGAUGGAGGCCUUCGGGUUGUAAACCUCUUUUGUUAGGGAGCAAGGCAUUUUGUGUUGAGUGUACCUUUCGAAUAAGCACCGGCUAACUACGUGCCAGCAGCCGCGGUAAUACGUAGGGUGCAAGCGUUAUCCGGAAUUAUUGGGCGUAAAGGGCUCGUAGGCGGUUCGUCGCGUCCGGUGUGAAAGUCCAUCGCUUAACGGUGGAUCCGCGCCGGGUACGGGCGGGCUUGAGUGCGGUAGGGGAGACUGGAAUUCCCGGUGUAACGGUGGAAUGUGUAGAUAUCGGAAA
rnacentral:rRNA from 1 species